CCAAUUUAGUCAUCCAUCUAUUCGGAGGAUGAAAGAGUACUAGAUUUCUUUUGAUGGCUGACAAUUGACAGAAGGGAAGCACUGUUACUUUAAGAAUCUGAAUCCAAGCUCUCGCUAUUUCUUGCAGCCCAAGGUAGCUCCAAAGUAGGGAAUAUUAAUUGCUUGUACGAGAGGAUGGCCGGCUUGAAAAUCCAUGGCCACCGAAUAUACAUACAGAGACACCCUUUAUAAAAUGCAGAUUUGAUGAUUCCGAGUCUUAGUUGAAGCAUUUAAGCAAUCCAAAGAAUAGAUGCUAAUUCCUUCAGCUUUACAACGGUACCGAGGACGGACGGCCGGCCUGGCCAAGAUCGAUUGAUUAAAGACUUUGUCGAGGAACUGGAUAAGCAAGAAAAUAAAUGAAAAUAAUACACAUGUGCCCUGAGAAGGAUAUGGCAAGGUCAAACCCUGGAGAGCACCCCCAAGAUCCGUGAGAGGCAUCCCAGCAAAAGGAAAGGAGCCAAAGAAAUAGUAGGUAAUCAUAAAAAAACGCUCUAUUCUCUUUUAAUUCCCUGUUAGGCAAAAGUUGGUUCAUCCUCAAAGAGCCAAGCCUUGACCUCCCACCUAGAAAAACCAUCUACCACUAUCUUUACCUUCUUUCUUUUCCUUUCAAAUCAUGGCAGAUUUGUUGUAAUUUUUCAAAUUUGAAUAAAGGGAUCUAACAAAUAAAGCAA